UUUAUUCUUUCUUCCCUAGUUUGUUGUGAUAGUCAGCAUAAUAAAUUUCAAACCUCUGACCUACGAUGACUACACCUUCCCUCUCUGGGCAAAUCGCAUUGGCUGGGGAAUAGCAUUAUCUUCAAUGAUACUCGUGCCUGCCUAUAUUAUCUAUAAAUUUAUGAAUGUGCGUGGGACCUUUAAAGAAAGACUUGCUUACUGCAUCACACCUGAAAAUGAGCACCAACUUGUGACCCAAGGAAAUGUCAGGCAGUUUAAGCUUCAACACUGGCUAACAAUAUGACAACCAACAGGCUGAAGAAAAAGCCAAUAUGUUAAGCGAAACUGAGAAUACAGAAGUGUCAAAUUCAAAGCUCCCUCGAUUAUGCUUGGACCAGGCUGGCUCAGAGCUUAUCCACUGACUCUUUGAGGGAAGACAUCUGCUCUCUGUUCUCAAUGCCUCCCUUCUAUUACUUGCCUUCAAACGAUCUUUAAAGACUCCAUUUAAUUUUUCUUACAUCCUUUGGUGCCAUGAAAUCCCUACAUGACCAAAACUUGUGAGUUUUGCUAUUGGCAGAAGUGGAGGAGGGGGGAACAGAGAAAAAAGCAAUCAACCUAAGUUAAAUGCUCUUUUAUUGUGAAGAAGUGAAUUAAACUUUUCUGCAGUAAUAAUUACUUCAGAUAUUCAUGCCACGACGUAUUUUAAACCAACAACACCUGAAUGUUCUUAAAUCUAAGGGAAGAGUACGUCUCAGUUAUGAGGAAAGAGCAAUUUUAACUAUGUACUAAUGUCAUUAGCUUUCUUGCCAUACUAUCCUUUGGGAUAUGAGUUUGCAUCCUUCUGAAGUGAAGACUCAGUGCUUCAUUUUCAGUGGUUUGUUAUUAGUUUCUUCUCUUGGUGAAGAAGGUUGUCUUUGCAGUAUAUGUCCAUGCCAUUUUCUGUCCAGUUUAAAUACACAAGCUGAAAAGCAGCAGGAACAGAAUUCCCAUUAUAGCUUCUAAGUACAGAAUACAGUUUAAUAGUACACUGUACUCAAUGAAAAAUGUAUUCCCUUAUAUCAACAGUUGAAAUGGCUUUAUCAUA